rnacentral:rRNA from 1 species
UGGGGAAUUUUGGACAAUGGGCGAAAGCCUGAUCCAGCAAUGCCGCGUGUGUGAAGAAGGCCUUCGGGUUGUAAAGCACUUUUGUCCGGAAAGAAAUCCUUGGCUCUAAUACAGUCGGGGGAUGACGGUACCGGAAGAAUAAGCACCGGCUAACUACGUGCCAGCAGCCGCGGUAAUACGUAGGGUGCAAGCGUUAAUCGGAAUUACUGGGCGUAAAGCGUGCGCAGGCGGUUUGCUAAGACCGAUGUGAAAUCCCCGGGCUCAACCUGGGAACUGCAUUGGUGACUGGCAGGCUAGAGUAUGGCAGAGGGGGGUAGAAUUCCACGUGUAGCAGUGAAAUGCGUAGAGAUGUGGAGGAAUACCGAUGGCGAAGGCAGCCCCCUGGGCCAAUACUGACGCUCAUACACGAAAGCGUGGGGAGCAAACAGGAUUAGAUACCCUGGUAGUCCACGCCCUAAAACGAUGUCAACUAGUUGUUGGGGAUUCAUUUUCCUUAGUAAACGUAGCUAACGCGUGAAGUUGACCGCCUGGGGAGUACGGUCGCAAGAUUAAAACUCAAAUGAAUUGACGGGGUCAUAGCUGUUUCCU